GACGAACGCUGGCGGCGUGCUUAACACAUGCAAGUCGAACGGAAAGGCCCGGCUUUUGUUUGGUUCUCGAUUGCCGCACGCGUGAGUAACACGUGAGUAACCUCCCCCUGACUUUGUGAUAACUUUAGGAAACUGGGGCUCAUACCCGAUAGAAUCUCCUGCUGCACAGGGUUGGUUGGAAAGUUUCGGCUUUAGUGGAUGGACUCGCUGCUUAUCAGCUGCUUUGGGUGGUAGUUGUAUACCAAGGCUUUGACGGGUAGGCGGCCUGAGAGGGUGACCGGGGACCUUGGGACUGCGAGACGGAGCAGACUCGUAAGUGAGGCAGCAGUGGGGAAUAUUACGCAAUGGGGGGAAGUCAGAUGCAGAAGCGCCGCGAGCGGGAUAACGGCCUUCGGGUUAUAAACAGAUUUGGAAGGUGCCGAAGCGUGAGUGACGGUAAUGGGUAAAGAAGCCCCGGCUAACUACGUG
rnacentral:rRNA from 1 species